CCUACGGGGUGCAGCAGUGGGGGAUAUUGCACAAUGGGGGGAACCCUGAUGCAGCGACGCCGCGUGGGUGAAGGAGUGCUUCGGCAUGUAAAGCCCUAUCGGCAGGGAUGAAGCAAGACGGUACCUGACUAAGAAGCCCCGGCUAACUACGUGCCAGCAGCCGCGGUAAUACGUAGGGGGCGAGCGUUAUCCGGAUUCACUGGGUGUAAAGGGAGCGUAGACGGCCAUGCAAGCCAGGGGUGAAAGCCCGGGGCCCAACCCCGGGACUGCCCUUGGAACUGUGCGGCUAGAGUGCGGGAGGGGCAGGCGGAAUUCCUGGUGUAGCGGUGAAAUGCGUAGAUAUCAGGAGGAACACCGGCGGCGAAGGCGGCCUGCUGGACUGCGACUGACGUUGAGGCUCGAAAGCGUGGGGAGCGAACAGGAUUAGAUACCCGAGUAGUC
rnacentral:rRNA from 1 species